rnacentral:ncRNA from 2 species
AUUUUUCCUGAAAUGCAAUAUAAUAUAUAGGAAUAUUUGUGAAACAGAGAAAUCGGUGCGAUACCGAUGCUGACCCGCAACUGUAAUGGAGUAAUCCAAGCCAGACCUCUGAUUUGCAACGCCAGCUUAU